UCAUCAUCAUAAUCACCAUCACCAUCAUUAUCAUCAUCACCAUCAUCACAAUUAUCAUUUCUACCAUCACCUUCACCCCUAUUACCACCACCAUCAUCAUCAUCCCUACCAUCAUCAACAUCAUCAUCCCUACCAUCAACACCUUCAUCCCUAUCACCAUCAUCACUACCAUCAUCACAGUCUUCAUCCGUACCAUUCAGCACCAUCAAUAUCACCAUCCUCACUUAUUGUCCACAAUGUCCUCAUCACCACCCCAGUCCAGAAGUAUUGAGUGCCUACUAUAAGCAAGGCAAGAGCUAGGAGAAUCAGAAAUGGAACUUCAGUCCCCAAAUGACCAUCUCAGGACUUCUUCCCCUGCCUUCACCACCACAUCAUGCCUUAAGUUUGCAUGGCUGAGUGCUUUGUGUGAUGCUCUAGUGACAGGGACAGCCAGCGCCCGCAUAGGAACAGGAAUUCAUCCUCGUUGGUGUCAUUCCAGAUCUCCACCUUCUCCACGUACCAGUCUGCGCACCACUUGGAGUUGUCAUGGCGGAGCUUGAUUUUGUAGAUGACGCCUAGGUCAGCGGCCUCGAUGAUGAAGCCCAGAGGUCUAAUUAGCAAUCAUAUUACUAUUCCUGCUUCAGAUGCAGUAAACUGAAGUUAGAGAUGAGGAAACUGAGGCCAGAGAAGUUGAAGCAGAUAAGGAGUUGAUAGCAGAACCAGGCCUCCAGAUCCCCUCUCCACCCCACAGUUCAAGUCUCUGUCAGCACAGCCCCUGCCAUUCUGCAGUGUUCACCUCCACGUUCAUGAACCAUGCACAGUGAACUGGAUUUUCUGAAGAUGACCCAGCCCCAUCCAGCCAACAACCUCAAGCUCCAGCAGGCCUCCUGCUUGUCCAAGGCCAGCCUUCUGCUCCACCUCAUCCCCUAUGCAGGAUCCAGGGUGGGUGCAUCAGCUAGGAGAGGGGAAUAAGGCACAUUUGCAAGGGAAGGGCAAGGGCAGAGGCCCAAAUGAGUGUGCACAAUGCCCCAUGGAGUUCCUGGAUGUCCCCAGGAACCAAGAAGAGCUGGCACCUAGAUUGCUGGGCCUGGAGAGGAGGGAAGGAGGGUAAACUCUGUGUGCCCCUCAUACCGUUCCUCUCUCGAACUUGUUGGUCCGGUUCUCUGACUUGCCAAGGUAUCGCUCCCCAGUGUCCCCGAGGUCUCCAUAGAUGGUGAUGUACACCUUGGCAUCCGUCCCUGCCCCAGGAAUGUUCCCUGUGAAGAUCUGCACCGAGUACAGCACAACUGGGCAGGUGGUGGGACAGACAGACAGACAAAGGGAAGAAAAGGGUGACAGCGCUUUAGGUCUUGGGGAACUGGAUUUGUAGGAGGUGCUAAGCUUCUGGCCUAGGCCUCAAGGGGUUAAUGCCUCCCUUUUGUUUGCUCAAUUAUGCAUACUCAGCUUCAAAUCCAUGUGGAUUCUCCAGUGGGAAGUGUGCUCAUCUGAUCUAGACCCAGGUAGGCUCUAUGAGACCCCAAAAAUAGAAACUUUUUUCUAGCACCCCUCAAACCAUCUAUCUGCCCAUAUAGCUGCCUGCAGUGUACAUGGGGAAAGACUCAGAAACUACCUGAGAUGUGUCCACACUGUGGUCACUAAAUCUACCUGCCAUGAUACAUGGCAAUAAAACGCCUUCCCAUUUGAGGGUGACCAGUGUCAACACCAGAUCCUUCUAAGUGGUUCAUAGAAAAAAAAUAUUUUGUAAAGAACAGUUUCCCCUCUGUUCAUUUCCUCAUGUUCAUUUAUUCUCCAACCCACUGCCACCCUCCCCUGCCCCAGCGGUUCAGGUCAACUCCUCACUGAAGCCACUGUGACUGCCGCCCUCUCCUUGGUCUCCUAUGGCCCAUAGGGAGGGCUCAGUAAAUAUGAGUGUGACAAUUAUUAAAAAUUAUUAUGAAAAAUAAAAAUGCAUGGUAUCUUG